rnacentral:rRNA from 1 species
GACGAACGCUGGCGGCGUGCUUAACACAUGCAAGUCGAACGGAAAGGCCCUGCUUUUGUGGGGUGCUCGAGUGGCGAACGGGUGAGUAACACGUGAGUAACCUGCCCUUGACUUUGGGAUAACUUCAGGAAACUGGGGCUAAUACCGGAUAGGAGCUCCUGCUGCAUGGUGGGGGUUGGAAAGUUUCGGCGGUUGGGGUUGGACUCGCGGCUUAUCAGCUUGUUGGUGGGGUAGUGGCUUACCAAGGCUUUGACGGGUAGCCGGCCUGAGAGGGUGACCGGCCACAUUGGGACUGAGAUACGGCCCAGACUCCUACGGGAGGCAGCAGUGGGGAAUAUUGCACAAUGGGCGGAAGCCUGAUGCAGCAACGCCGCGUGCGGGAUGGCGGCCUUCGGGUUGUAAACCGCUUUCGCCUGUGACGAAGCGUGAGUGACGGUAAUGGGUAAAGAAGCACCGGCUAACUACGUG